CACCGCGGUUAUACGAGAGGCCCAAGUUGACCGACACUCGGCGUAAAGAGUGGUUAAAGAAUGAGUUUACUAAAGCCGAACGCCUUCUUAACUGUUAUACGUUCUCGAGGGUAAGAAGUCCCCCUACGAAAGUAGCUUUAAUAUUAUUGACCCCACGAAAGCUGUGGAA
rnacentral:rRNA from 2 species